rnacentral:rRNA from 1 species
UUCAAACGAAGAAAGGCUUACGGUGGAUUCCUAGGCACCCAGAGACGAGGAAGGGCGUAAUAAUCGACGAAAUGCUUCGGGGAGUUGAAAAAA